UACAGAGGGGGCAAGCGUUGUUCGGAAUUACUGGGCGUAAAGGGCGCGUAGGCGGCCUUCUAAGUCGAACGUGAAAUCCCCGGGCUCAACCCGGGAACUGCGUCCGAUACUGGAAGGCUUGAAUCCGGGAGAGGGAUGCGGAAUUCCAGGUGUAGCGGUGGAAUGCGUAGAGAUCGGGAAGAACACCAGUGGCGAAGGCGGUCUGCUGGGCCGUUGCUGACGCUGAGGCGCGACAGCGUGGGGAGCAAACAGG
rnacentral:rRNA from 1 species